rnacentral:rRNA from 1 species
GACGAACGCUGGCGGCGUGCCUAAUACAUGCAAGUCGAACGCUUUUUCUUUCACCGGAGCUUGCUCCACCGAAAGAAAAAGAGUGGCGAACGGGUGAGUAACACGUGGGUAACCUGCCCAUCAGAAGGGGAUAACACUUGGAAACAGGUGCUAGUACCGUAUAACACUAUUUUCCGCAUGGAAGAAAGUUGAAAGGCGCUUUUGCGUCACUGAUGGAUGGACCCGCGGUGGAUUAGCUAGUUGGUGAGGUAACGGCUCACCAAGGCAACGAUGCAUAGCCGACCUGAGAGGGUGAUCGGCCACACUGGGACUGAGACACGGCCCAGACUCCUACGGGAGGCAGCAGUAGGGAAUCUUCGGCAAUGGACGAAAGUCUGACCGAGCAACGCCGCGUGAGUGAAGAAGGUUUUCGGAUCGUAAAACUCUGUUGUUAGAGAAGAACAAGGAUGAGAGUAAAAUGUUCAUCCCUUGACGGUAUCUAACCAGAAAGCCACGGCUAACUACGUGCCAGCAGCCGCGGUAA